CCCUAUAAUUAGAAUGAUACAGAAGACGCCUGUAAUUAGAACGAUACAGAACGACGGAAAACCUGCGCGUUAACAGCAUCGCUGCAAAAGCCUCCGCCCUGCCACGGUCUCUGGCCAUCCCAGGUUUCAAGAAUUAUUGCAGAAAGCCUUCGUCUCCUUCAAUUUCUGCUCUUAAUCGGCAAAAGUUUUUGCUUACCAGGUUCAGGAGACGGAAACUUGCAUGCAUGGAACAUCAACACACUAAAUAAGGUCAUACCGUCUGAUGUUGGAUAAUUUAGCGGGUGAAAGAUUUCAAAAUGAUAAAAAGUUGCGGAAAUCAUUUGAAGACCAUCAUUUGGAUUAGUUAUAUAAUGACAUUAGCUAUUUAGUCUAAAUUAUAUAUUUUUAUGUUUUAAGUUAAUGUGAUAUUAAUGUUUUUGAUUAGUACUUCCUUUUGUUUGUUAAGAUUAAUGAGAUACAUUAUGUUUUUUUAAUUAAUAUUAAUAUAUUUUAUUAUUUGAGUCA